GAGGUGAGCAGUUUCCUCCAUCAUCUCCUAUGGCCCCCUCCACAGGCCCCAAAGCAUCAGGAACAACUAGCCAUGAACUGAAACCUUGAAAACCAGGAGCCAAAAUAAACCUUCCUCCUUAUAAGCCGAUUAUUUCAGGCCUUUCGUCACGAUCAUGCAAAGUGGACUAUCACAAUAACGCUCCACGUUUACUGUAAGUAUUAUUAACUUUCUAAUUUUGCCCUGAAGCAGCAUCCAAACAAGGUCAGUAGCCAGGAGCCCCAGCAGCCUGGGGCUGAAAGGCUCCUUCCCGCCUGGGAUUCCUGUUUCUCCCGCCCUCUGGGACCUGAAGCCGGUUCCCUCUCCUUUAGACUGGAGCAGCUAAGCCCCAGCCAUCUUCCUGAUGAACAGCGAGGCUGGUCUUGCCCACUGCUCCCGGGCAGCAUUCUGGGCAAAGGAGAACUGCUUCUUCUGGGUCCUGAUCACCUUCCACGGCUAAAGAAUAGUAAGAAUGGUAAACAGAGGACCGGCCACUUCCCAGGCAGCGCCACUACCGCUGCCGAUCCUUUGCCAGGAACAGAAAUGAGAAGAGCAAGAGAAAACAGACGUGUCCUCCUCUCUGGUCAACCCUCAGUUCCCACUUUGUCACUAGAGACAGUCGCUGAAAGGUAUAAGGAAAUUUGAAUAAGAAAAAAGUCUUGAAGAUAUCAGAGCACCCGGUGGGGUGGGCAGGUAAGAAGGAGGACCAGAAGGAACAGGUAUUGCUGCCAAGUUAUCAGUCACUUAUGUGCUUAAGAAUGCUGCAUUUCUUUUGUUUGACGAGUUUUACCUCCCAGAUUCCCGUAAAGCACCUGGUCCGGUCUGUUAUCUAACCACAAGGGCAGCAGUGCCUUUCCUGUUCUUACCCUCCGAAGGGAACACCAGCCUGGGACUGAGGUGCUGACCACCACCCUGAGUGCUGCGCCUGGGCCUUCCCAAGAAAUUGGGAACCUCUGACUGGGGCAAGCAGCUUCCAGCACCACCCACAGCCACCAUGAAGGUUCUGAUCUUGACCCUCCUGUUUCUGCCACUACUGCUGAUGUCCAUGGUCUCUAGCAACCCGAACUCAGGUAAAUAAGAUUGAUUUUCUAUAAAGGGGGGAGAAAGGGGGCAGAAAACGUGUUAAAACAGGCCACACAUGUGUUAAAACGUAGCUCCUUUUGCUACGAAGAUAUUGUAAGGCCAGGGGCUGUGGCACGCACCUGUAAUGUCACUACUUGGAGGAUGAGGCAGGAGGACUUUAAGUUUGAAGCGAACAUGGGCACCUUAGCAAGAAGUGCCAGGGGUAUAGUUCGGUGGUAAAGCACCUCUGGGUUCAAUCUCAAGUACAAAAAAAAAAAAAAAGAUAUACUGUUCUCUCUCUCUCUCUCUCUCUCUCACACACACACACACACACACACACACACACUAGCUCAACCAAGAUUUCCCCUUCUCCCCUCCAACUCCUUUUCCAGAAGAGGAAUAAAUUUCCCCAGGGCCAAACUAUGUGGCAGAGGUGACUGGAUGUGAAGGUAAGUGUACACUCACAGAAGCUAAAGAAGUCCCACGUUCCUCAUACUGCCCUAGAGAUGCCACUGACAAUUUUUAAUGGUAUUUAACGGUACUGUGGUAAAGCAGAAAACUGCGAUUGCCAGGCAGAACCCACAAGUUCUAACCGUACCAAGCCCUGAAGCAGCUCACCUUCUGGGAAGCAGAGCUUUGGUGAGGCAUAGCCAAAGUGGCUCAGCCCUGUGCACAGUGGAGAGCUUGUCCCCUUGUGUGUGUCUCCUCCAGAGCACCAUCCCAUCCCAGGGCUACUUGAAGUGCCAUUGCUUGUACUGUGUUUGGCAUUCCUCAGCCUGGGCUCCACUCAGACCUGCUUUUCCAGCCCUGAACCUCUGCUCAACACCAAGACUCUCUGCUCCACCCUGACUCCCUGCUGUUCCCAAAACAGGUUCUGCUGUUUUCCUCCUCCAGAUCCAAAGCCAUCUCCUCCCCCAAGCCUCCCUAGAUUCCUCCCAGACAGAUAGGGUGCUCCCCUCACGGAGCGGGCUCAGCCCUAACUUGACUCUCUUUUUGCAUUGAUCAUAUUCUGCCUGUAUUGAAAGUGUUCGUGCGCCCUCCAUCCCCUGCCCCUGCCUUCUAACUGUAACCUCCCUGGUGGCACAAAUGGGCCAUGUCCCUCACAUUAUCCAGCACAGGACACAGUAAAUAUUAGCCAAGUCCUCAGGUUUCCAAGUACAAAAUAUUGCUCCUUUGAGACUCUCUAUACCAGAGUUUGAUAGCAGCUCUAUUGACAUUUGGGGCUGAACAAGUCUUUGUUGUGGGGGCUGUUCUUUGUAUUGUAAUAUGGCAUCUACCCACUGGACGCCAAGAGUGGCCUCUUCCCUCCUCAACACGCUCCAGUUAAGAAAUCUAAAAAAAUGCUAGGCUGAGUCAAGAGGACUGCAAGUUCAAAGCCAGCCUCGGCAACAGCAAGGCGCUAAGCAACUCAGUGAGACCCUGUCUAUAAAAAUACAAAAUAGGGCUGGGGAUGUGGCUCAGUGGUUGAGUGCCCCUGAGAUCAAUUCCUGGUAUUCCCCCCCCCCAAAAAAAAGAAAGCUAAAAAUACUUCCAGACAUUGCUAAAUGUUUCCUGGCGGGGCAGGGGGGGGCAUUGACACUCCCAGUGGAGAACCACGGCUCUAUUCCAAUAGUUCUUAAACCUGGUCACAUGUUUAGAUUCAGCAUUUGAGUUAUUAGGACCCAGAUCCAAAUACCAACUCUACCCACUCACUUUCCAACUCUCCACAAGUCAUUUAAGUGCUUCGAGUCUCAGUGUCACCAUAUUAAAACACAUAAAAUAACCGGGUGCAGUGGUGCGAGCCUGAAAUACAGCAACUAGGGAGGCUGAGGCAGGAGGAUCACAAGCUCAACGCCAGCCUCAGCAACUUGGCGAGGACCUGUCUCAAAAUAAAAUAUAAAAAGGGCUGGGAUGUGGCUCAGUGGUUAAGUACCCCUGGGUUCAAUCCCCAGUACCAAAUAUAACAAUAAUAAUAAAACACAUAAAAUAACAUUUAUCACACGGACUUGCAAAGAUUAAAUGACCUACAACAUUCAUCUAGAAAGAGAUUGUUAGCACAAAAGAACCAGGCUGGACACAAACUUCACAUAUCAUUUCAGCCUUUUAUUCAGGAACGAUGGGCCCACUUUCCAGGUGGAAAAUAAGUCACUGAACAAAGGAGGGGACUGGGCUUCUAUAGGUUCUACUGAGAGGUGAGUUAGUUAAUGAAUGUGUCAGUUUGGGCACUCAGGAAUUUGGGGUCUGUUUUACUGAGUGAAAUGGGAGGGGGUUUGGGGUCAGCAGUCAGUAUCUGGGAUUUACUUACUGGAAUGGAUGGAGGGCACUGGUUGGUAUCUGGAAAGGAUUUGUUUAGCAAAGGAUCAAUGCUUUGGACACCUCCUCCCCAGGGCUUGUUUAAUCACCAGGAAAGAAUGUACUGGGGAAGGAUCGACGCUCUCAAUGUAUGGCUUUCUGUCUCUCUCCCCUUUUCCCAGGCUUCACUAUUUGAGGGGUUUGUCAGUUUCCAUAUCUAAUAGAGGUCAAUAAACAGACCAAGUGCAAUUCGAAAACAGUUCCUAACACACGAUGAACUGGGGAAGGCUCCCUGUGCCACCAAGUGUGGCUAUCACAAAUCACACCAUGGACGGGGGCUGGGCUCCAGAUUUGCUUUCAGCCAAGCAAUUUUGCAAUCCUGCCAAAGUCUGAGCCAAUUCAUAAUGGAAGGAAUGACACCUCACACUGUCCAAAACAAUUCUCAAAACAAAAUCUGAUCUUACUUUAUCUUUUUUUUUUUUUUUUGGAUACUGGAGAUUGAACUUAAUAACUGAGUCACAUCCCAGGCCUUUUGCUAAACUUUGUAUGUUUUAGACAGGAUCUCACUAAGUUGUGUAGGGCCUUACUAAGUUGCUGAGGCUGGCUUUGAACUCCUGAUCCUCCUGCCUUAGCCUCCCCAGCUGCUGGGAUUAUAAGUAUGCACCACCGUACCUGGCUUUACUUUACCUUUGAAAAUGACUACAUCUGUGCUUUUCAAUAUGCUUUUCCCAGCAGAGAGGGAAGGAAAAAAAAUGUGAGAGUAUUAGGAAAUAAGUUACUUAUAAUAACAGAUUAUUUACUUCUUGUAAUAUUACUUAUUUAUAAAAUUGCUUAUAAUAAUACCUUACAUGUAUUAAGCACUCUAUGUUGCCUGGCUCAGUGUGGCUCACGUCGGUAAUCCCAGCAAUUUGGGAGGCUGAGACAGGAAGCCAGCCUGGGCAGCUUAGACAGGCUCUGCUUCAAAAUAAAAAUAAAAAGGGCUGAGGUUGUAGCUCAGUGGUAAAGUACCCUAGGGUUCAAUCCUCAAUACUGCACAUGUGCAUGUGCAUGCGCGCGCGCGCACACACACACACACACACACACCCUCCUGUGUUGCAGGCUUUGUUCUAAGCGCUCUACACAGACAGCAUUAAUUCACUUUGUCCUCAUAGAUCUAAUGAAUUUUUUUUCCUUUCAUUUCUCAUACUUUCAAAACUGUAAAAAUAGAUUUCCAGUAUAUCCUUCAUCCACUUUUUUUAAAAUAUUUUUUUUAGUUAUACAUGGACACAAUAUCUUUAUUUUGUUUAUUUAUUUUUGUGUGGAGCUGAAGAUCAAACCCAGUACCUCACAUGUGUGAGGCAAGUGCUCCACCACUGAGCCACAACCCCAGCCCUCCUUCAUCCACUUUUUUCAAAUAACUUCUUAUAUAACCAUAAUACGAUUAUAAAAAUAGGAGAUUGGCACUGAUACAAUAAUGUUAACUAAUUCACAUUUAAAUUUUUGUUAAUUAUCCCAUGUAUGUCCUUUUUCUAGUUCAGAGUUUGAUUCAAGAUCCUACGCUGAAUAAAAGUGCUCUGUCUCCUUGGUAUCCUCCAAUCUAGGGUAGUUUCCCAGUCCUUCCUUCUUUCAUACCUUGAUGAUGAUGAUGAUGAUGAUGAUAAUAAUAAUAAUAAUAAUAAUAGUAUUAGGGAUUGAACCCACUGAGCCACAUCCCCAGCCCUUUUUAUUUUUUAUUUUGAAAUAGGGUCUCACUAAAUUACUGAGGCUACUCUCUAACUUCCAAUCCUCCAGACUCAGCCUCCCAAGUCACUGGGAUCACAGGUGUGCACCCAGCCCUUGAGAUUAUUUUGAGGAAUACUGGGCAGGUAUUUUGCAAAAUGUCUCCAGUUGGGUUCAUCCAAUGCUUCCUCAUGACUAAGUUCAGGUUAUUCAUUUGGGGCAUGUGUCAGCUUUUCAUCACUGUGAUCAAAAUACCUGACAAGAACAACUUAGAGGAGGAAAAGUUUAUUUGGGGCUCACAGUUUCAGAAGUCUCAGCCCAUGGCUGGCCAACUCCAUUGCUCCCAGUCUGAGAUGAAACAGAACAUCAUGGUGGAAGGGUAUGGUGGUGGAAAGCUGUGAGCCUAUGACAGCCAGAAAGAGGGGGGACAGAGAAAGAGGAGCCAGGGACAAGAUAUAGCCCAAAGCCACAGUGACUGACUUCCUCCAGCCACGUCCCACCUACUGACGAUUAUCACUCAGUACUCAGUCGUCUAUUCAAAUUAGUAGUCUACUGAUGAGGUUCAGAUCUCAUAAUCUAAUCACAUCACCUCUCAACAUUCCUGCACUGCCUGACACGUGAGUUUCUGAGAGGACACUCAAAUCCAAAUCAUAACAGGGCAAAAAUACCACAGAAGUGAUGUGUCCUUCUCAGUACGCCACAGAAGGAGACUCAGCAUGCGACCAUCUCUCGUUGCUAGUGAUGUUAAUCGGUUAAGGUUGUGUCUGCUAGUUUUCUUGACUGUAAAGUUACAGUUUUCCCCCUUGUAAUUAAUAAGUGUUCUGUGGAGAGAUACUUGAAGACUGUGCAAAUAUCCUACUCCUUAUCAUAAUACUUUUACCCAAUCAAUAAUUUUUUAAAUUCAUUAAUGACUCUUACCUACAACGAUGAUUACUGUGGUGUUAACCACAUAGUGAUUUUCCAUUUCCUUCAUUCCUUCUACAUUUAGUCAUUGGAAUUCUACUAUAAGAAAGAGCACUGGGCACAGUGGAGCGCACCUGUGAUCCUAGGGAGCAGAGACUCAGGAGGCUGAGGCAGGAGUAUCACAAGUUCAAGGCCAGCCUCAGCAACUUAGCAAGACCCUGUCUCAAAAUAAAAAGUAAGAAAAGGACUGAGGAUGUAGCUCAGUGGUAAAGCACCCCUGGGUUCAAUCCCCAGUACAAGAAAGAAAAAGAGAGAGAGAGAGAUAAGCUAUUCCUCCUUCUUUUACUGAUUAAUUCAAUUAUCUAUUUCCAUCAGAAUGGACUCAUGGAUAUUUAUGGGUUAUAAUCCAUUACUAUCAUUAUUUAUUGUUAUUCAUAUUGUACCUGAAUUGGCCACUGGGGCUUAUUCAAGUCGACUUUUGCGAUCUUUUAAUAUCCCCCAUUAUUUUUGAGCAGUUCUUGCUUUCUGACACUACAAUAUAUUCUAGGUUCAUCUUGUACUUUCUUACCCCAGCCCUGAAAUCAGUCACUUCUACAGGGAACCCAGGUUCCUUUCAUGGGAAAAUGCUGUUUUACAAAUGAUGGGCAAUACAUACAACCUUUGCUAGUGGCUGCCAUUACUUCUAGACUCUCUAAUGGACAGAGCUGGGAAAUAACAACAUUAAUGUACUACAUUUUACAAAUCAGGUAAACGAGGCACAAAUGAGUUAAGCUGGCUAAAAUCACAAAGCAAAUUUAUAGUAGAACUGGGAAACCAAAAUAGUGAUAGAUGUACCACAAUUCCUAACAAGUAACUUUUGUUGUUGUUGUUGUACUCUGGAUUGAACCCAGGGGCACUUAACCACUGAGAUAAGUCCCCAACCCUUUUUUUAACUUUAUUUUUUUUUCACUAUCACCAUAUUACUUCCUGAGCCCCAUAAAUUCCAAGAAAUAUUUUUACUUUUUUUUUUAAUUUUGAGAGGAUCUUUCUAAAUUGCUGAGACUGGCCUCAAAUUUGUGAUACUUCCACCUCAGCCUCCCAAAUUGCUGGGAUUACAGGUGUGUACCCCAACUAACAAGUAACUUUUUAACAAAUAAAUGCCUUUUAGCAGAAAGCUCCAUAUCUAAUAUUCCAGCAUAGACACCAUUUUUGAAAAAUAACUAGAAGUCCACAGUAAUAAUCACAAUAAUAAUCACCAUGUACUGAAGGCCUGGCUGCACUCACGGUACCUCGUAAUUCCUCAGAACUCUGCAAAAUGGAGACCACUAUUCUCAUUUUACUCAAGGGAAAUCGAGAAUCAAGGAAGCAGAGGGACUUGUCUAGUUAAGUGACGAAGCCAGCCGCUAACCCCAGGUCUAUCUGGAUAUAAAGGCUCUGUUUAUUCCACGUAUCAUGGUUUCCCAAAACUAAUUUUAGGUAAAACAUAAAUUCACAUUUUUUUUUUACCUCAGUAAUUACAUGUUUGUUUUAAUGUUUAUUAGAAAAAGAUCUAAGCAUGCAUCAAGCCUGUAACUUCACAGAUGAUAUCACACAGAAUGAGACUGUUUUGUAAAAUAAAUUUAGAGGAAAUAUAUGAAGUAGAUAAUAGUUGAGGUGGUAAUAGAAAAAAUCAUAAAUCCCAGUGGCUCAGGAGGCUGAGGCAGGAGGAUUGCAAGUUCAAAGCCAGCCUCAGCAAAUUAACAAGGCCCUAGAGAAAGAGAAAAUCAUAAAGAUAGUCCCUAACUGCCUGAGGUUUGGAAGACAUAAUACAACAAUUCCAAGCAGCCUCAUUUUCAGCUGUAUGAGCCUAGCUUUCAUGUAGGGUCAUGAUAAUAACAACAGACUAAGGAUCUUGGACCUGGGUUUAACAUUACCUUUGUGAACUUGGGCAUUUCAUUUGCUGUCAUUGGGGCUCAGUUUCCUCAUCCAAAAAUAAAAAGAAAUAGUGAUUUAGUUCAUUAUUAUAGCCCUUUGAAAGCAAUUUGAUGAUAAUAUCAAGAACCAUAAGGCCAGCAUAAUGGCUCACACUGGCAAUCCCAGCUAUUCAGGAGGCUGAGGCAGGAGGAUCACAAGUUUGAGGCCAGACCCAGCAACUUACAGAGGCCCUAAGCAACUUAACAAGACUCUGUUUCUAAAUAAAUAAAUAAAUGGGGCUGGGGAUGUAGCUCAAUGCAUGUAGCCCCAUCCAAGUACUCCCACGUUCCAUCCCAAGUACAGAAAGAAAGAAAGAAAGAAGAAACAAGAACUGUUCUUAAAUUUCCACUAGUAUUUCCACUUUCGGAACUCUCUUCCAAUGAGAGAGAUUUUUAUUCUCUUUCCCAAGAAAAUAAUCCAAAAUUUAGAAAAAGUUAUAAAAAUGAAAAACUUUUGUCAGUGUCUAAACAUAAAGCAACCUAAAGAUUCAGCAAUGGGAAAACAGUUAAGUAAUUUGGAAAACAGAUACUUGUUGCAGUCAUUAAAAAUAUCUAUUAUGGGGCUGGGGUUGUGGCUCAGUGGGAGAGCACUUGCCUGCCAUGUGUGAGGCCCUGGGUUCGAUUCUCAGCAGCGCAUAUAAAAUAAAAUAAAUAAAAUAAAGGUCUAUCAUCACUAAAAAAAAUAAAUUCUAAAAAUAUAUCUAUUAUGAAGAUGAAAUAUCAUCAUGCUCUAUGAAGGGGGGUAGAAAUCCGUUUGUGUACUGUGGUUAUCCCUACAUAAAGAAAACCAUAUAUAGAUCACACACCAAAAUACCAACAUUUAGUAAGAACAGUGAGUUUUUUGUUAUAUCUCAAAACUUUCUCCAAUAUAGUUGUAUUACAUUUAGAAUGAAAACCCUCCUCAAUUAAGGGAUUCAACUAAAUGGUCUCUAAGAUUCUUUCUUGCUCUUAUAUUGUGUGGGGUUUUUUUGGUGGAUCAAGGAGUAGAGGUCAUGCACAAGUGAAAUAUGAGAAAAGGGUAGCCAGCCGAGGCUACGCCUGUUUACUUUUACAACUCUCUAAAUAGCAUGAGAACAUUUGAAAACUAGCACUUGGGGAAAUGAUGUAACACCCUCCAUCUGUGUAGCAGAAAGGGCACAAGUCUGGGAAAUAGGAACCUGAAUUGGACCAGACGAUCUCUAAGGGCCCUCUCCAAAUUAAAUUGUCCAGCCACUCAUUUGAACAAACGUUUACCAAAUGCCUGCCGUGUGCCAGGAGCAAAGUAGCUGAAUGACUACUGAACUGUUGGUUCUAAGUCUAGUGAUGGAGAAUGAUUUUGUUUUAGGAUCAGCAUAACAAAAUUUCAUAGACGGGGCGGUGGCUUAGACAACAGAAAUUUAUAUUCUCACAGUUCUGGAGGUUGGAAAUCCAAGGUCAGAGGUUCCGCAGGUUUGGUUCUUCUACUUGGCCUGCAAAUGGUUGCUGUCUUAGUUUGGGCUGCUAUGACAAAUCACCACAGGUUGAGUGGCUUAUAAACAACAGGAGUUUAUUCCACAGUUCUGGAGGCAGGACUUCUGAGAUCAGAGUGUCAGUAUGAUUAGGUUCUGAUAAGGGUCCUCUUCCAGGUUGCACAGAGUUAGCUUCUUGUGUCUUCACAUGACAGAAAGAGUGAGAAAACCCUCUGGGUUCCCUUUUAUAAGGGCACUAAUCCCAUUCAUGAGGGCCGUACCUUCAUGACCUAAUUAUUUCCCAAAGACUUCACUUCUUGAUACAUUGAGUAUUAAGAUUUCAACAUACACACUUCACGGGGACACGAACAUUCAGUUCAUAAUAGCCACCUUCUUACUGGAUCCUUGCAGGGCCAUUCUGCUGUGUACACACACUCCUGUGUGUCCAAAUCUUAUCUUCUUAAAAGGACAUGGCUCAGUGAGUUAGGGCCCACCAAACAAUCUUAUUUUAACCUAAUCAGCUCUUUAAGGACCCCAUCUCCAAAAAACAGACAUUCAGAGAUACUGGAAGUUAUGAGUCUUAAUCCCAAUGACUUGGGAGACUGAGACAGGAGGAUCAAGAGUUCAAAGCCAGCCUCAGCAACAGUUAGGUACUAAGCAACUCGGUGAGACCCUGUCUCUAAAUAAAUACAAAAUAGGGCUGGGGAUGUGGCUCAAUAGUCGAGUGCCCCAGAGUUCAGUCCCCAGUAUCCACCCCCCAAAAAGACAAAGGCAACCCUGUGAAGGCAUAAUCGACUCCAAUAGGAAAUAUUGCUGUACAGAGUGCACUCUGCAGAGGAUGUAUCCUCUGGGCUCAGCACCUUAUUGUUUUGAUUCCCUCCGCUAGCCCCUCCUCCGAGAGCUGGUGAGAAUCUCAAGUCUAUAAGCCAUCAUCCUUGAUUGUCAGAAAACUAUUUUAAAGCCAGGUGUAGUGGCACAAGCCCAUAGUCCCAGCCAUUUGGGAGACUAAGGCAGGAGGACUGCUUGAGUCCAGGAGUUCAAAGUCAACCUGGGCAACACAGUAAGACCCUGUCUCAAAAAUAUAUAAAUUUUAAAGCUGAGCACAAUGUUACACGCCUGUAAUCCCAGUAGCUCAGGAGGCUGAGGCAGGAGGAUGGUGAGUUCAAAGCCAGCCUCAGCAAAUUUUCGAGGCCCUAAGCAACUUAGCAAGACCCUGUCUCUCAAUAAAAUAUAUAAAAAAAAAAAGCGCUAGGGAUGUCAUUCAGUGGUUAAGCGCCCCUAGGUUCAGUCCCCAGUAGCAAAACAAAAAAAGAUAGAUAGACAGACAGAUAGAUAGAUAGAUAUUAACCCAAUAAAAUCAGCUUGGAUAGAGGCCAAAAGCGGAGUGUGUUUGUUCCAGAGGAACACAUGCAAAUACCAUCCUCGUAUAGUUUGAACUGGAAUUGUGAAUCCAAACACAGUAAUUUGGAGGUCAGGUGGAAAUCUUGGUUAAUGGAAUAAUGAGAUCCUUGUUUUCACUCCUGAAGUCAUGAGGAUUUGAACGUAGGGGACAAGGAGAGGGUGUACAGUCCUGAUAACCCCUAACCUUUUGUCCUCUCUUCCAUCAGAGUCCUUUCUUUCUUCACCAACCUUCAGCUCAGCUUUUCUCUAAGCCAGAUUUUAAAACUCUUAUUCUUUAUCCAUUUAAAACACUCCUCUCUUGAAGAACCCUAGAUCCCCAGAGCAAAUAAAGAGAUGAAACGGAAAUUCUUGACCUAGGUAGCACAAUAGGGGGUUUCUGUUGGCCCCUUCCCUUUCCGGUGCCUGGAAGUGACCUGUUUCCUUCCAACAGGGGUCGCCAGAGGCAACAGGGACCAAC
rnacentral:lncRNA from 1 species